AUCGACAUAACUAGAUUUAAUGCGGUGUAAGAAAAUGUCUAAAACUAGAUGUUCCCCGGUCCCAAUUGUUAGUCAAAGUUAAUUAAGUUGGCCCAGCCUAUGAGAUAUUCGCUUCUAUAUACUUACUACAUAAUAUGCAUCGCGGACACGAGGCCACAAAGCGUUCGACUAGACUAGCCGUCUGGACAUCUUAAUGGCACUCGGGCUGUCCAAUGAUGUUUUUCUCUUUAUUUUUUUUUUUGUUCUUCAUUAUAUUGGUCGUGCGGCUGCAAAAGGCAAACAGCCCAAGUGCCUGGGCUGCUGACAGAGGCGGAGAUAAAAACGAGUAACGUAAGGGGAGAGGGCGGUCCUGGUGGGGGCUGGGUGUUGGUCAGUGCAGAAGCAUCCUUUUAUGAUGACGUUACGAACGCCGCUCUCGGUUGACUGACAUGAAACUGUAAUGGAAUUCAAUAAAAGCUGAGAGUGCAGAAACUGUUUGACACGCAAACGA